UACGUAGGCAGCAAGCGUUGUUCGGAGUUACUGGGCGUAAAGAGUAUGUAGGCGGUUGCGUAAGUUCGGUGUGAAAUCUCCCGGCUUAACUGGGAGGGUGCGCCGAAAACUGCGUGGCUUGAGUGCGGGAGAGGAGAGCGGAAUUCCUGGUGUAGCGGUGAAAUGCGUAGAUAUCAGGAGGAACACCGAUGGCGAAGGCAGGUCUCUGGGCUGACACUGACGCUCAUGCACGAAAGCGUGGGGAGCAAACAGG
rnacentral:rRNA from 1 species